rnacentral:rRNA from 1 species
CAAGCAUCCAUAGUUGAUGCAUCAGAUGGACGCCAAGUGAUUGAUAUUAUACCUCCCGGACCAGAACUUCUUGUUUCAGAGGGGGAAUCCAUCAAGCUUGAUCAACCAUUAACAAGCAAUCCUAAUGUGGGAGGUUUUGGUCAGGGGGACGCAGAAAUCGUGCUUCAGGAUCCAUUACGCCCGGAGGAAGAGUGGCCUUGA